UACGUAGGUGGCAAGCGUUGUCCGGAUUUAUUGGGUUUAAAGGGUGCGUAGGCGGCCUUAUAAGUCAGUGCUGAAAUAUCCCGGCUUAACCGGGAGGGUGGCAUUGAUACUGUAGGGCUUGAGUGUAGUCGAGGUAGGCGGAAUUGACGGUGUAGCGGUGAAAUGCUUAGAUAUCGUCAAGAACGCCGAUAGUGUAGACAGCUUACUAGGCUACAACUGACGCUGAGGCACGAAAGUGUGGGGAUCAAACAGG
rnacentral:rRNA from 1 species